UACACAAGAAAAGACAGUGACACGGGACGAGCGCUAAGUAGCGCUUGUCCCGUGUCACUGUCUUUUCUUGUGUC
rnacentral:pre_miRNA from 1 species